rnacentral:lncRNA from 10 species
UCUAAUCUGUAGAGAUAGGAUCUCUCUGAGUUGCCCUGGCUGGGGUGCAGUGACACUGCAGCGUCAGACUCCCGGGCUCAAGUGAUCCUCCCACCUUGGCCUCCCCAUUAUCAGCUGGGAUUAUAGGAAUGAGCCACCAUGCCUGGCUUCAAGCAAUUUUUUAUAUUCACACACACACACAAAACAUUGACCUAACUGAUUGCAAUGAAGAUUUGUCACAUCUAUGCCCCAAAAUCACCCAAUAAAAUGAACAGACAACUUGAUGGGAAAGGAUUUGGUAAGGUAGUUGGCAAAAAAAAAACUGGCCUUGAGCAUUUUAAACUGUUAAUUAUAAAAAAUGUCAGGCAUACACAAAAGUGAAGCAAGUAACAAAAACUCCCAUGUCCCCUGGCAAGAUUCUUGCUUCUUUUACUCUCCUGUGCUUUCACAUGUUUUCUUUUUAUUUUUUGUUUAUUUAUUUAUUUACUUAUUUAUUUUCGAGACAGGCUUCUGCUCUGUGGCCCAGGCUGGUGAAACUUUUGCUUGGGUGAUUAUGAUCCAAAAUUCUGCAUCACGGAAGGGGGCUGGAUUAAGUUUGCUCUAAAUUUUCUUCCAGUCUAGGGGUUCAGUGGCUAUAGAUAAAGAGUUGUGGUUGAAACACUCAAGGUACUUACGGGUUGAAGGGUGCAAAAUCCCAGAGAAAUCUGAGUGGGCAUGAGGUUAAUCAGGGAUGCUUCCUGGAAGAGAAGAAUUUGGGGCAAAUAGAAAUGUGUACAAGGCAAAAAGAUAUGAUGAAAAUGAGGAGAAUACACAGAAAGAUAUUUGAUAUUAUAGAGCUUAAAUUAAUUUGGUAGGUUGGGCAUUACCUAAGUGAUAUCAGCAAGUGGUCACAGAAUACACUAAGAUCCAUCUACACAGUGGAAAAUCUUGCAGCCCCGUGACUAAGGAAAGUUACUUCUAUUUUCACCAGUCCUUGGAGACACCUUUUCAGGCAAUUAAACCCCCAAGGGAAGGAGCCUCCUCCGAAGUUGUUUGCUCAUCUCAGCUGCGCUGACAAACCAGUCUUUCCCAUGGGGAGGUGAAGA